rnacentral:tRNA from 1 species
UGGAGUAUAGCCAAGUGGUAAGGCAUCGGUUUUUGGUAUCGGCAUGCGAAGGUUCGAAUCCUUUUACUCCAG